UUAACGGCUCUCUCUCUCUCUCUCUCUCUCAGAGGAAGACGAAACCCUAGGUCGACUAUGUCAAGGGCGAGAAUCAGCAGGCGAUGCGGCAAAGUAAAGAUUUGCAUUGUGCGGACGCUUUUAAUAACGUGAUGAAGAGAAGCAUCACAUUCUAGGACUUGACCCAUGAAGAGAAGCAUCCUAUUCUAGAGGGCUUUACCCUUCACCGUUUGACGUGAGCCUCGGGAGUUUGUGGUUUGCCGUAAUGACUUGGGAAAGGAAUUAGGAAUUUGGAAUCGAUGGCUGGCUUACCAAUGAAACGAUAAAUCACCAAAACUGUUUGUUGACUGAGGAUUCUAUUCGUCAUGCACAUAGUGUUAGGUUUUAGUUAACUCAAUGUUAGAAUGAUCAUUCCAAGGACGGACCAUACGAUUUCAGAUUCAUUCUAGCGAACAAAACCCUGCCUUAAUGCUUUGGUUUACAUGGGUUUGGCUUGUUUACGAGCUUAGUCGUGUACCUUGGUCCAUAUAAUGUAUUGUUGAGUAGGGCAUUAAACACAGUUAUUUGAUUGAUUACAUGCACCAUUCCCUUUUUUUUGCUGUUAUGCGUUUGUAGAAUAUGUCGGAUCCAACUCCAGAAACUGACUUGCAGGUGAACAUGCCAGAAGAAUGCGCCUUUGAGACUGCUCUUGCGGGGACCGCAUUGUAAUUUUGGGUUAGGUAUAUGGUUUUAAUUUGGUUGUGUUGUUGGCAUUACCUUUUCUGUUAAUAACUUCUUUUUUAUUUUUUCACCUGUAUAAUUCGUUGAAGCAGUGUAGACCAAUGGUGUAAAGGAGAGGAGAUUAGUUAGGUGAGUGCGUUGAUCUUACUGAAUUUUAAUACGCCUGUGCUUCUAUCCUGGUACACCAUGGACUAGGCAAAUAGGUGGGGUCAAUCCGGUUACGUGUGAGAAACAGAUGAUACUGUAAACCUGCUUCAUGGUAAAUCUAAACCGUUUUUCCGAAGUACCAAAAAGAAGGUAAUUCUAAACCACCUCCAAAGGGGAACAAAAAAGUGGGGGUUCUCUGAGACUACUUCACUUUAUGUUUGGACGGGAGUUGAAGCUGAACUUACAUAGCUGCUCUAGUCUUGACAAUUUAUUCUCUAAAUUCGGAAGAUAGGAUUUAUUUUUUUGAUCCGCGGAAGAUAGGAGUUUAUUGUUAUGAAUUAUGACUGAAACAAUUUGAAUUAGAAAUAAAACUCUAUAUGUUUCUUAUGUCUUCCAUGGGUACCAGGGUAGAUCUGAUGGCACCUUAGCAUCUUUUUAGCAGCUAAUUUUUCAUUGUCAUAUCUUUAAAUGGAACGGGUUUAUCUUGUACCAAAUUUGCAAUAUGUUUGUUUUUAGCUCACGAAUCACCAGAUGUGUUUGUGUGCUCUUCUGCGUACUGUCCCGGUGAUGCUCUUAGUAGGUUUGAUUAUUCAGCUCAGUUGGUUGUGUUUUAGAUGCUACCAUUCAGUAUUGUUUCCCUUGUUGGAUAUGAGGUAAACAAUUUAUUCUUUGCAGUGUCGAAGUUGACAAGGACAGAAUCACUAUUUUGAGCUUGAAACGGAUGGUAGUGCAGAGAACUCCAUAGGAAAGUGGUAUGAUGCAACAUGUUUUUCUUAUUCAUUAUUGUGGUCUCAAGUUAUGAAUUGGAUGAUGCUUUUCUAUUGACCAAAAUUUGUAAUCCGAAUGGGGAUCUCUAACUUCUGUUCAAAUUUGUUCGAUGACACUGACCUGUUUCCUUAGGCACAAAACUCAGUGCAUCCUUUUUCAAAAACUUAGAAUCCACUUCAAACUCUAGCUCAGAAUUAUUCGUCAGUAGGAAACAAGUGUGCCCCACCAAACAAUAUAGAAGAGGGAAGUUAAUCACAAUUGUCAUUUCUGGUGUAAGUCUAGUUAAACAUAAGUUACUUUUUCUCAAAAUCAAUCUCACAGUACCUAUUGCAUAAGGUUUCUAUUCACUAAACUUAUGUUAUCUUGGAAAAUUGGCCAAGUGCAACUGAGCUGACACACAGAAAUUGAAGGCGAAGUCGUACUACUGAAAUCUUAGUUUGCCAUGGUCAAAGGGUUUUGCUGGAAAAUACUGGUUUGCUUGCCAUGUAAUAGCUGUUUCUUGUGAGUGUUUUGUUUCAGUUGCCAGAAAAUGGGUGUAGUCAAACGAUAUGUUUGUGUAUAAGUUUUAUCUUGGCACUGUUUUGAAUUCUUUUGUUAUUACUACAAGUGGCCUGUGCUACGAUUGUUUGUGUUGGUGCAGAAAAUCUAUUCAUGAAGGUAUCUCACAUAGGGAGGGUUUUCUGAGAAUAUAGAUUUAUUAUGGUACUCAUUCAACAUUCAUUGAAAUGUUUGUUAUGUCUUGUAAUUUUAGGGGAAAGAUGGGGGCCUCUCUGGACAGGUCGUCUAGAGGGCAUGGAUUAAGGGGCAAACCUCCAUAUUUAAUGGUAAAAUAGGUUUAAAAAGCUUCCGCAAAUGUGUGCAUUUUUUUAGCGUGUCUUACCGUUAGAAUUCAUGUUCAGAUCCAAUAACUCUUCAAUUUGUGACUCACAGCUUGAAAAGUUGAAACAAUUGGCAUUUAUCUGGUAAAGCCUUUUGUUUUCACAUGUUUUUGAGAACUUAGUGUGGUAUAGGAAACCUAAUGUGAACUAUGAAGGGAGCUUGAAUUCGAUUACGGGAUUCUCUCAAUGUCUGAAAUCUAACAUAGUUGAAUGGUAAUAUUACUCAUCAUAACCAUUAGGUACUAUGUGUCAAGUCUAUAUAUCUUGCGCGCUUAUUUUUUUGCAUUUGAUGCUUUAAGCAUGGCUGAUUUUUGUGUGCUCUGUGAUUCUUUAUUUGUAGCCCAUGGCCAUGUAAUGGCUAUAUGAAAAGAUUUCGCUCCUAUGCAUUUUAUAUAAGACCAUCUCAUAUCAGCUUUUUAAAAAAUUUUGAAGCUAAAGUUACCUAAACGCAAGAGGAAAUACAAGGAGGAGUGAAAGGGAAAAAAAAGAAAAGAAAAAAGAAGCAGUUGAAAGCAAUGAAUUUGGAAGCUUUCCAGAGGGCAAGGAUUGGUGUGGUGUAGCUGGCUCUUGUACGAGUUAGGUACUUAUGGUGGAACUGCAUGUGGAAGAUGAGUGGUAUGGACUCUAUAGAGGGGUUCUCAGUUCAUGGCUAUGUUGAUUAUCCUCCUACCUACAGGCAUAUCGAAAGUCAUGGACCCAAAAUGCAAGUUGGUUCAGUUUUACGUUUUGGAAUCUGGACAAACUGCUUACAACUUUACAUGUUAUAUUAACAAUCUGCAAGAGCAAAGAAGGGGCCUACACGUGUACUUGAACUCUUGCCUAUGUAAAAUUUGAUCAAUUCCUGGAAUUAGCCCUAGAAAGUGUACAACAUUCAAAGCAUCUCCGUUCAAUGGGAUUGGAAGGCGGUGUGACACUCACACUCACAGUUACAGCUUUAGCUCCGUUUCACUUGUCUGUUUCUUCUUGCUUUUAAUUUGGCGGGAUGCUUGUCCCCCUUAUCAUGUUUUUUGUUCCUCUCAUACUGUUGUCUGUUGCCAACCAAAAAAAAAACCCAUCUCCUAUUCAAUGGCAUAGGGUCGAGGUAUGAGUCUUGGAGAAGUGUCCAUGCUAAAACAGUUAAGGCUCCUCGCCAAGUAUUCAAGCGAGCAUGCCACACAGGAUGCCUUUGUAUGUUACUAAAAAUUGAUAAGCUCCAUGCCAUGGUUCUAAAAAAAAGUGUUUCUGUUGAUGAUAAUUCAUGAUUCAACUUGUUUUACCAAUAUUUUAAUUGCAGCUGCAAAAUGCCUAAUCAUGUAUUGUAGCCUUAGGUCCUAAAUACAUGUUCGUAAUUCCGCUCUCUAUAUUGUGGUCUCUAGAAAUCAGAUGUAAUUUUUUAAACAAUCUUAGGCAAUGGCAGCAGUUAAGCUAGAAGUAUGUUUUGUUUGGGUUUGUAAUAAACUUUUUUUCCAUCUUUUAUUUCAUAUUUGAUUGGUCGAGAUUUUUUAGCCUAAAAUGAAGGACUUGGACAUAGUGCAACUCCAGUGCAAGUUGAAGGACAUCUAUUUUCCAUAUAUUCAGAAAAGCUUUUUUUAUGGACUAGGAAAAAUGGGUAGAAAUAAGGCUCAAUAUUUGAUGAGAUGUUGCUCAAGAGUAAAAUGCUUUACAGUUAAAGGAGCCCAAGGAGUCACCUCUUGGGCCCUUAGUCUAGGGCUAGCUCUGAUGCUUCAGCAAGCUCUUUUCUGCAUGCAGACAAUGUAACCCUACUUCAUUGAAGUUGGAGAAGACAAGCAUGCCUUUAUGAAGUGGCCCAUCCAGUUAAAAUACAAACACAUGCCCGCACAUUUACACAGUCCGUUAUGUACCAGCUUAUACAAGGAUGCUCAUAUCCCAAAGAAUUAUGACAGGAUCCUUAGCAAGAUGAAAUCUUUAUGAUCAAGUAAAACUCAAAAUAUCUCAAGAUGGGAUACAAGUGAAAAGUGAAGAAUGGAUCUUUCAGAUGCAUAACCGAUAUGUUGAGGUCAUUGAGCGUGUUCUGACUUCUGAGGGUUCACAAAGAGAUCCAAUGGAAAGGAGCAUCUUGGAAAAUCAGGGGAGAAAAUUGAAGUGUUGAACUGAGCAUGUGCAGGUUGCCACAGUAACAAUACGUAUGCUACAUUAGAAUUGCAUUCUGCUUGAAGGAUUUCAAUGGGAUUCAGGGGAAGCUCAGGUCAUUUGGUGGUACACUUAUCUGCAAAUUUGUGUUUUAGAAGAGAUUUCGCACCCCCUUCACUCAAUAUUACUAGUUGUUAUCGCUCUUUGUAUUGGUAGACCAAUUGGUCUCCCAAAUG